rnacentral:rRNA from 1 species
GACGAACGCUGGCGGCGUGCUUAACACAUGCAAGUCGAACGGAAAGGCCCUGCUUUUGUGGGGUGCUCGAGUGGCGAACGGGUGAGUAACACGUGAGUAACCUGCCCUUGACUUUGGGAUAACUUCAGGAAACUGGGGCUAAUACCGGAUAGGAGCUCCUGCUGCAGGGUGGGGGCUGGAAAGUUUCGGCGGUUGGGGAUGGACUCGCGGCUUAUCAGCUUGUUGGUGGGGUAGUGGCUUACCAAGGCUUUGACGGGUAGCCGGCCUGAGAGGGUGACCGGCCACAUUGGGACUGAGAUACGGCCCAGACUCCUACGGGAGGCAGCAGUGGGGAAUAUUGCACAAUGGGCGGAAGCCUGAUGCAGCAACGCCGCGUGCGGGAUGACGGCCUUCGGGUUGUAAACCGCUUUCGCCUGUGACGAAGCGUGAGUGACGGUAAUGGGUAAAGAAGCACCGGCUAACUACGUG